GCUUCCGUCUUCCCUUCUAUCUGCUGUUGUGCGCUAGGGUUUUUCGCCUCUUUUUCAGUUUCUGAAUACACACAAGCACACACUCUAGGACUACUUGACCAUGGCGGAGCAGACCGAGAAGGCGUUCUUGAAACAGCCCAAGGUUUUCCUUUGCUCGAAGAAGACGGGAAAGGGAAAGAGGCCAGGAAAGGGUGGCAACCGAUACUGGAAAAGCAUUGGGCUAGGAUUCAAGACUCCUCGUGAUGCUAUUGAAGGUUGAGAUAUACCCGUUUAUUCAUACAGAUUUAUGAUACUACUGUUAUAAAAUGAGAUGUGUAUCAUCUAUAAAUAAAGGUUGUCCCUUUUGAA